rnacentral:pre_miRNA from 1 species
AGUGGGAUAGCUGGGUCAAAUGGUGGUUGGAUUCUCAGUUUUCCAAGGAAUCGCCAUAGUGCUUUCCAUAUUGACUGCACCAAUAUGCAGACCCACCAGCAAU